UACGUAGGGGGCGAGCGUUGUCCGGAAUUACUGGGCGUAAAGGGUGCGUAGGCGGCUUAGUAAGUCGGAUGUGAAACCCCCGGGCUUAACCCGGGACGUGCAUCCGAUACUGUUGAGCUAGAGUGCAGGAGAGGAAAGCGGAAUUCCUAGUGUAGCGGUGAAAUGCGUAGAUAUUAGGAGGAACACCAGUGGCGAAGGCGGCUUUCUGGACUGUAACUGACGCUGAGGCACGAAAGCGUGGGGAG
rnacentral:rRNA from 1 species